UAUACUAAAUUGGAAUGAUAUACUAAAAUUGGAACAAUACAGAGAAGAUAAGCACGGCCCCUGUGCAAGGAUGACACACAAAUUCAUUAAGCAUUCCAUAUUAAA
ensembl:snRNA U6 U6 spliceosomal RNA